rnacentral:rRNA from 1 species
ACGGUAACAGGACGCUAGGAUCCCUUCGGGGUGACUUUGUCGCUGACGAGUGGCGGACGGGUGAGUAACGCGUGGGAAUCUGCCUGGUAGUGGGGGACAACCCGGGGAAACUCGGGCUAAUACCGCAUACGCUCUACGGAGGAAAGCGGGGGAUCUUCGGACCUCGCGCUAUCAGAUGAGCCCGCGUCGGAUUAGCUAGUUGGUGGGGUAACAGCUCACCAAGGCGACGAUCCGUAGCUGGUCUGAGAGGACGAUCAGCCACACUGGGACUGAGACACGGCCCAGACUCCUACGGGAGGCAGCAGUGGGGAAUAUUGGACAAUGGGGGAAACCCUGAUCCAGCAAUGCCGCGUGUGUGAAGAAGGCCUGCGGGUUGUAAAGCACUUUCAAUUAGGAAGAAAAGCAGACGGCUAAUACCUGUCUGUCUUGACGUUACUUUUAGAAGAAGCACCGGCUAACUCCGUGCCAGCAGCCGCGGUAAUACGGAGGGUGCGAGCGCUAAUCGGAAUUACUGGGCGUAAAGCGCGCGUAGGCGGCUUGGUCAGUCGGAUGUGAAAGCCCCGGGCUUAACCUGGGAACUGCAUUCGAUACUGCCGAACUAGAGUCUGG